UUUGCUAUUUUUUUUUUUUGACGUUUCUGGUGAAAGUACGGGAGACAGAAUGAUGAUUUCUGCCCCGCAUCCACGCAUUUAUUUGCCUGUGAUUACACAGAGUGCAAUAUCUAGGUACAAUUAUUUUCGAUUUUGAAUUUGUACAUUGUUGGGGAUGAGUGUUAGGGUUGGACAGGUGUGGUAGAUAUACAUGAUUUGGUAUUUUCUUAAUUAUAAACAUUGCGUGGAUGGUAACAUUAACAUAUGAUUUUUGUUUGUUUACAUUUUUAAGAGUUUCAGGCAAUUUGCAUGAGUCAAUUUAUUUGAGUUUAAAAUUGGUUUUAUUUAUAUUUUCAGGUACCCCCGCCAGAAGGACGGAAGCACCGAGCCUCAGGAAUCUUUGCCGGUGGGGAAUGGGAGCUGCUUGUCCCAGUUAUUUGCAGUCGCAGGCUGCGCGCAACUUUUGAAUUUGAGUUGGGCCAGCGUUUCUGUUCGGAUCCCGCGCCGCCGUCAAUUUAGGUUUUAAUUUGCAAGAGGCUGCCAACCCGCCCAUGGGUCUCAUUGCCAGCCUUCAAAUGGUCCAAAUCGCAGUGGAUUCCCGCGCCGCCGUCUAAUUCCAAGGUCCAGGGAGUUGCUGCAUUUCAGCUGGAGUUCUUCAGUGCGUAGUGGAUUCCCGCGUCGCCGUCUUAUUCCAGGGUCCAGGGAGUUGCUUCACUUCGGUUGGAGUUCAUCGUGUGUCGGCGAGAGCGUCGUCAUUGCUUUGGAGUCACCAGGGUCGUCGCUUCUGUGGGUCGUCUCGCCAGGGAAAGGAGGCAUCUUGUGGACGCCGGGCCAAGAUGCUUUGCUUAGGGCCGACGCUCGUAAGUGUCCAUGGAAUUGGAUGCAGAAAAUUGGAUUAGAUAAGUAUAUCUAUGUGUUUAGUUUUGUUUUGUCUGAUUUUUGUUUUGUCUUUUCUUUUGCAGGUCCAAUUCGUCCAGGAUUUUUCAUUUUUGUCCGGUGGGAUUUGGGAAGGAAUGCAUUGCCUUGGAUUUAUAAAGAGCAUCGUCGGAGGUUCGUAUUUGUCAGUGAGUUUGUAAAUGCAUUUAGUUUUCUGUUGUUGUUAGUUUAUUUUGCUCUUUUUCAGGGAUAUUGUCAGUAUGUCGUUGCUACCAAGAAAAGGUGGAAUUUAAGGGUCAAGAUUUUGACCUUUUGUCGGGUCAACAGCGCCGCACUUGGAAUUCGUAAGGACGAGAGGGCUUCCCAACUUGGAAACGGCAUCAAAACAUUUUAGGUUUUUAAUGUUUUAGGUGCCGAAAUCGUCGUUUUUCAUUUCGCCGAGUCGGGAAAUGGGAUUUUGUUUGUAUGCCGUUGCUGCCAGAAAAAAGUCGAUUUCAAGGGUCGCGAAAUUGACCUUUUGCCGGGUCAGCAGCGGCGCACCUAGGGUUAAGAAGGACGAGGGUGCACCCCAACAUGGAGACGGCAUCCAAACAUUAUAGGAUUUUUAUGUUUUAGGUGACAAAAGCUUCGUUUUUCGUUGCGCCUAGCAGGGAAGGAUAUUGUCAGUGUUAUCGUUGCUACCAGAAAAAGUCGAAAUUCAAGGGUCACGAUUUUGACCUUUUGCCGGGUCGGCAGCGCCGCACCAAGGGUCAAUAAAAUCGAGGGGGCUUCCUGGAAUAGGGACGGCAUCAAAACAUUGUGGAUUUUUAUAUAUAUUAUUAUAUAUUGCUCUGUUUUAUGUUUUGAUUAAAGUAUUUCAAUCUUUAACGGAGAUUUUGUCGAUAUUGCAUUUCUGGAGGAAAAAAGUCAAUUAUAGAGGUUACGAUUUCGACCUUUUGCCGGGUCGGCAGCACCACGCCUAGGGUCUGUAAAAACGAGGGGGAAACCCAAUAAGGAAACUGCAUCAAAACAUUGUAUGUUUUUUGUGUUAUGAGUGUCAAGAAGUUAGUUUGUCCAUUUCGCCCAGUCGGGUCGUCUUUUGUCGUCAAGUAUGGCUUUCAUAGAGAUUGCAGCUGGUGUUUUGGGACAUUUCAAAGGAAUUGCAGCAAAAAAUUCAGAUAAGUGACGUUGUGCAUACGCUGCUGCAAUGAGUCGACUUAAAUUCAUCAUGUUUUUGCUGCGCGUUGAUCCUUCUCCUGUCCAUCAGCUUCCAGUUUCGUAUAUGCUGGUCCUAGUGGGUGGCAUCCUUUACGUCUUCAUCGUGGGGGUCAGCAGGAAUACGUCGUCAAGAGGUUUAUUCGUCCGGAUUUCUUGCUUGUAUAAUUAAGGCCAUUAAUAUAUCAAUUUUCUUUUCCAGGUUGUCAACUCUAUUUGCCAGUUUAAUGACUGGGUCGUCGGGUUGGCUAUUUUCUGGAAAAGUGUUGAUAUUUUGUGGUGAGGGCGUUGUCUCCUUGACUAUCUUUGGCUUUAGAUUUGCCAAAGCAGCUCUGCUCGUUGUCGGGGGGCUGUCGUCUUUUCCCUGUUUGUGCUUUUUUUUUUUGACGUUUCUGGUGAAAGUACGGAAGACAGAAUGAUGAUUUCUGCCCCGCAUCCACGCAUUUAUUUGCCUGUGAUUACACAGAGUGCAAUUUCUAGGUACAAUUAUUUUCGUUUUUGAAUUUGUACAAUGUUGGGGAUGAGUGUAAGGGUUGGACAGGUGUGGUAAAUAUACAUGAUUUGGUAUUUUCUUAAUUAUAAACAUUGCGUGGGUGGUAACAUUAACAUAUGGUUUUUGGUACCCCCGCCAGAAGGACGGAAGCACCGAGCCUCAGGAGUCUUUGCCGGUGGGGAAUGGGAGCUGCCUGUCCCAGUUAUUUGCAGCACGCAGGCUGCGCGCAACUUUUGAAUUUGAGUUGGGCCAGCGUUUAGCAGUUUCACCAGUCGUCAGAGUUUUAUUUUCGUGUGGAGAUCCCGCGCCGCCGUCAAUUUAGAUUUUAGUUUGCAGGAGGCUGCCAAC